GGUUUACUUUGUUCGAAUGAGUUAAGAGUUCGGAGAGUUUGGUCUGAUUUGUGUCUUCAGCGUUUGGUUUGAUAAAUCAGUGAAACUUGCGAUUAGUGCUUCACGCGAUUAGGGCUUCAAUGUUAUCUUCUUUCCAGAACUCAACCUCGUCGUCUAAUUGUUUUUCAUACUCUCAUUUUUUUUUCACCUCCCAUUGUGGUUCAAUGUAUUUGUUUUAAUUCUGCCAUAAUUGUUGUUCACAUUAAAUCCAGUAUCAAUGUCGAUCAUCAGAAUCUCUUGAUCCGCCAUGGCCUUGUCGGCGCUCUCUAAUCUGAUGCUCGCCAUUAACAAGAAGAAGACGAACUCACUCGAUCACUAUUGUCAUCUCCGCAACUACAUUGCUUUAACUUUGUUUGAUUUCAGCCAGGAUUGAUUCUUAUGUAUUUUAAUUUUACUGGAACAAGAUUGAGAGAUGAAAAUUUUUGACUUUGGUUUAGAUACUGAGACCUUAGAUAAGACUUUUGUAUCUUUAUUUUUUUAUUUAUGUGUUUCAGGAUCAUAAUAUAGAGAUUGAUCAUCAAUACCUUUGCAGAAAUUUUGAAAAGAUGUAGCAAUAUACAUGUUUCGAGUCAUCAUCAGCUUCAAAACCCAAACUUAACAGACGCAGCAGAUCAGAGAGGACACGACUAUGUGUCUAAUUGUGUUUGAGGGAAUUUCCGGACUCCUUCAUAGGAAAUUGGAACCGACUCGAUUUCUUUAUCUGAGUCUUCGGGUAAGGAUACAGUUGUAGCGAAGGAAGGAAAAUUUUAUGAGGCAAGAAGAGGCUCUAACGCUGCCGUGGAAGAGAAAAUGAAGAUUUUUUCUGGUUCAGACCACCAGGAAAGUAGAGUGAAAAAAGUAGAGCUUGAAUGUAAAACAAAGAGAGAUUUGAGGGAUGAUUUUGUUUUGUGCUUGUUUUGGAAAAAUAGGUGGUUGUUCUUAGAGUCUCUUCACUGUCACUGUAGAGGCUGUGACGGCAAAACGAAGACACAUCUAUCUAGAAUGUAAGGAGUAAAUUAUUACAGUGCCUAGUGUUAUUGACUUGGAUCAUAACACUCCAAACUGGAGUCCGACGCACACAUCGAAUGGAGGAAACAAAACAAAGCUGGAGAAUUUUUGGGUCCAAGAGGUGGUUCAGAAUGGGACUUUUAUACCCGCAGGCCGCAAGGGUUAAGAAAGUUUCUAAACUAUGCAAAAAGCAAAUACGGAAACCCAAAUUUAUGAUAAUUGGACACUGCGAUAUAAACUAUGAAAAGAAAGCUAAACUUUCGAAUUCGAUGGAUAUUCAGAGGAUAGAAUAUUACGAAAAAUAUCUCCAAAGCAUCCACCAAGCCAUCAAGGAGUAUGGUGUUUAAGUAGAUGGAUACUAUGCAUGAUCAUUACUUGACAAUUGCGAAUAAAUGCUGGCUAUCGUGUUAAGUACAAUAUAUUAUAUCGAGACUACAAUAACGGUUUAAAACUAAACCGUUACCCAAGAAUGUCGGCAAUGUGGUACAAAAAGUUUUUGAAGAAAGAAGAGAUUGAAUAUUCAGAGAAAGAAGGGUUGAUGUUGAAUCAUGUUGCUAACAAGAAUAUGAAGAGGUUCUUAACGUCGUGUGGUUCGCUUUCCUGUUUUAUACAUAUGCUUUGUUUUUCUUCCUCGAUGCUUCAUGUUUUUCGUCAUUUGGAUAAUAAUUUCCUAUAUUUUGUCAAUUUUUUUUGCAUUUAGGAAAGUA